UACGUAGGGUGCAAGCGUUACUCGGAAUUACUGGGCGUAAAGCGUGCGUAGGUGGUUUGUUAAGUCUGAUGUGAAAGCCCUGGGCUCAACCUGGGAAUUGCAUUGGAUACUGGCAGGCUAGAGUGCGGUAGAGGGUAGUGGAAUUCCCGGUGUAGCAGUGAAAUGCGUAGAGAUCGGGAGGAACAUCUGUGGCGAAGGCGACUACCUGGACCAGCACUGACACUGAGGCACGAAAGCGUGGGGAGCAAACAGG
rnacentral:rRNA from 1 species